AGUGGAUUAGCGGCGGACGGGUGAGUAACACGUGGGUAACCUGCCUCAAAGUGGGGGAUAGCCUUCCGAAAGGAAGAUUAAUACCGCAUAAUAUGAGAGAAUCGCAUGAUUUUCUUAUCAAAGAUUUAUUGCUUUGAGAUGGACCCGCGGCGCAUUAGCUAGUUGGUAAGGUAACGGCUUACCAAGGCAACGAUGCGUAGCCGACCUGAGAGGGUGAUCGGCCACAUUGGAACUGAGACACGGUCCAGACUCCUACGGGAGGCAGCAGUGGGGAAUAUUGCGCAAUGGGGGAAACCCUGACGCAGCAACGCCGCGUGGGUGAUGAAGGUCUUCGGAUUGUAAAGCCCUGUUUUCUGGGACGAUAAUGACGGUACCAGAGGAGGAAGCCACGGCUAACUACGUGCCAGCAGCCGCGGUAAUACGUAGGUGGCGAGCGUUGUCCGGAUUUACUGGGCGUAAAGGGUGCGUAGGCGGAUGUUUAAGUGGGAUGUGAAAUCCCCGGGCUUAACCUGGGGGCUGCAUUCCAAACUGGAUAUCUAGAGUGCAGGAGAGGAAAGCGGAAUUCCUAGUGUAGCGGUGAAAUGCGUAGAGAUUAGGAAGAACACCAGUGGCGAAGGCGGCUUUCUGGACUGUAACUGACGCUGAGGCACGAAAGCGUGGGUAGCAAACAGGAUUAGAUACCCUGGUAGUCCACGCCGUAAACGAUGGAUACUAGGUGUAGGGGGUAUCAACUCCCCCUGUGCCGCAGUUAACACAAUAAGUAUCCCGCCUGGGGAGUACGGUCGCAAGAUUAAAACUCAAAGGAAUUGACGGGGGCCCGCACAAGCAGCGGAGCAUGUGGUUUAAUUCGAAGCAACGCGAAGAACCUUACCUGGACUUGACAUCCCUUGCAUAGCCUAGAGAUAGGUGAAGCCCUUCGGGGCAAGGAGACAGGUGGUGCAUGGUUGUCGUCAGCUCGUGUCGUGAGAUGUUAGGUUAAGUCCUGCAACGAGCGCAACCCUUGUUAUUAGUUGCUACCAUUAAGUUGAGCACUCUAAUGAGACUGCCUGGGUAACCAGGAGGAAGGUGGGGAUGACGUCAA
rnacentral:rRNA from 1 species